GUAUUAAGUUUAAAGGCAUUAAAGCCUAUAAAUGACAUUCUGAACAUUCUAAUGGGGUAUAUGAAAACAUAGACCUGGAAGCUCAAAAGGAGUAAACCUCUGAGCUGGGGUAUCUUUUGCAAGACUUCCAGGACUACAUAAAGUGCACAGGUGGAAAAACAAUGAAGGGCGUGCACAUGCUCCUAAGAGCCAGCUACAACCCAACAAGUUAAUUCAAUAAUGAUCCUUCCGCAGGUUCACCUACGGAAA
rnacentral:misc_RNA from 1 species